rnacentral:rRNA from 1 species
GUGCUUAACACAUGCAAGUCGCGUGCGCGGUUCCGUAGCAAUACGGGAUGGGCGCACGGCGCACGGGUGCGUAACACGUGGGCAAUCUGCCCUCCGAUGGGGAAUAACCCCGCGAAAGCGGGGCUAAUACCGCAUAACAUUCCUUGGACUACGGUUUGAGGACUCAAAGCAGCAAUGCGUCGGAGGAGGAGCCCGCGCCCGAUUAGCUAGUUGGUGAGGUAACGGCUCACCAAGGCAAUGAUCGGUAGCUGGUCUGAGAGGAUGGCCAGCCACACUGGAACUGAGACACGGUCCAG